UCUUUGUUUUGUUUUGUUUUGUUUAAGAUUUAUUUAUUUUUAUGUGCCCUUGAUGUUUUUCCUGCAUGUGUAUAUGUCUGUGCAAGCAUGCCAGAUCCCCUGGAACUGGAGUCAUAGACAUUUGUGAGCUGUCAUGUAGGCUGAGAAUUGAACCGAGUUCAGCUCUUCUGGAAGAGAACAGCCAGUGCUCUUAACUGCUGAGCUGCCUUUCCAGCCCAGGAAUUCUGGGUACAGGGAUGCUCAUCAGAGACCCUGUCUUGGUUUAAGGUGAAGAGCAAACAAGGAAGAUAUGCCAGCCUCCAACUUCCAUUUGGAGUAAGAGAACCAAUUCCAAAAAGUUGUCCUUUGACCUCCACGAUACCACUGUUUUUAAAAGUAACUUAAAAAAAAAAAAAGAUUAAUGCUGCACUUUUUGUUAAUGUUGAAAAAUCGUCUUGAAAUUUUUUGCUAUAUUUAGGAAACACAUUCUCAGUCUGGGUGGACAGGGUGACUCAGUGGAUACAAAUGCUUGCUGCUGAGCCUCAUGACCUGAGACUGACUCCAGGGACCCACAUGCUGUCCUCUGACCUCCACAUGCACACUCUAGCGUGCUGCUCAAUGGAUGAAUGAAAGAAUUGUAAAAAACAUUUUGAAAGUCUUAGAACUGUUAACUUUGUUUGUAGCACAGGUUUUGAAGACUUUUUAAAAAAGAUUUGUUUAUUUUAUGUAUAUGAGUACACUGUAGCUGCACAGUUGUUGUGAGCCUUCAUGUGGUUGUUGGGAAUUGAAUUUUUAGGACCUCUGCUCGCUCUGGUCAACCCCACUCACUCCAGUCGGCCCUGCUUUCUCCGGUCAGCCCCCCUUGCUCAGUCCCUGCUUGCUCUGGCCCAAAGAUUUAUUUAUUAUUAUACAUAAGUACAACGUAGCUGUUUUCAGAUGCACCAGAAGAGGGUGUCAGAUCUCAUUAUGGGUUGUUGUGAACCACCACGUGGUUGCUGGGAAUUGAACUCAGGACCUUUGGAAAAGCAGUCAGUGCUCUUAACCACUGAACCAUCUCGCCAGCCCUUGAAGGCUUUGUAAUUGAAUUUCAUUUAGCAUACAAGAAAUUAGUUGGGAGGUGAUUAUACUGGAAGGAUAAAAGAGUUACCAAACAAGUAAUUUAAUGAGUAAAUAUAUUACAUACUUUUAAAUUCUAGACUUACAGUAACAUUGCAGAUAGCUUUUGUUUGCUUGUUUGUUUCUGUUUUGUUUUGUUUUGUUUUGUUUUUGAGAUGGGGUCUGGCUGUGUAGCCUUGGCUGGCCUCAAAUUGGCUACUAGACCAGGCCGUCCUGGAACUCAUAUGCCUGCUUCUGCUUCACAAGUGCUAGAAAUAAAGGCUUGUAUCACCAUGUCCAGCUCAACUUCGUAGAUUUUUAAUAGUUAAAAUAAGUACUGCACAUACCUUUUUUGGGUUGGUUAUUGAAUAAAGGGGUUCUGAGUCAAAUAGGCCAUAUAAUAAGCUCUCUAUGGGCAGGGUAUACAUUCCAAGACUGUCCCAGACAGGUGUAUAAAAUGAAUCUCUUUACAAACUGUUGUUCCAUGUCCUCUAUUCCCCACCUCACCCCCACAUUUACUCAUGGGACAGGCAAGAUGGCUCAGUAAAAUCGAUUGCUGCAAAGCUUGAUAACCUAAGCUCAGUCCCUAGAACCCAUAGUAAGAGAGAACAACUCCCCAAAGCAAUUCUUUGACCUCCAGCAAAUUCACCUUCACAUGUGCCUCCUACCUCAGCUCCCACGGAUAUGGAUGGAUGGAUGGAUGGACGGACGGACGGACAGACGAACUGGCUUUUUUUUUUUUUUUUUUGUAAAUCACAGUGACAUCACAGAACAGAACAUUCACAACGACCAGUAUGCAGUACUGAAGGUUGUAUGAAUGUUGUUUCUUUCUCAAGAUGUCUUAGUUUGUAUCUUUCCUGUGAUGAUGUGAGAUGACAAAGUGCCUGAGAGAUGAAAUAAAUUGAAAGAUGGCUUCUUAUGGUCUGCUUACUAGCUUUAAGCUUUUGUAAAAGGAUUAUUUGAGCACAAGCUCUAAUAAUGGAACUGGCUUCUCAGUAACUAACAUUGUAGCGUACCUUAGCUAUUUGGGUAUCUUAUAGGGAUAUUUAUGUCUCUCGUGGGACAGAGAUGGAUGGUCCAAGAUUUCAUCACACUGUUUAAAUCAGUGUGUCAUUUAAAAGUUAAUACAGUAUUAUUUGGGCACUUUUCCACCUGAUAUUUUUGACUAACCAAAAAAGUGGAGAGGGCUGAUGUUCUGACUUCAUUUAAAUUAGCUCGAUGGACUUGGACUUGGUUUGGUUCUUUUUUUCCAUUACUCAAUAGCAUUUUGAAUGGAACUAGUUAGUAUAUUUAUUAUAUUCUAAGUAAAUACAUUGUGAAGACUAAGAUGGUCUUU
rnacentral:lncRNA from 1 species